GAUGAACGCUGGCGGCGUGCUUAACACAUGCAAGUCGAACGGUGAAGCAGAGCUUGCUCUGUGGAUCAGUGGCGAACGGGUGAGUAACACGUGAGCAACCUGCCCCUGACUCGGGGAUAAGCGCUGGAAACGGCGUCUAAUACUGGAUAUGAGCUGCGACCGCAUGGUCAGCAGUUGGAAAGAUUUUUCGGUCUGGGAUGGGCUCACGGCCUAUCAGCUUGUUGGUGAGGUAAUGGCUCACCAAGGCGUCGACGGGUAGCCGGCCUGAGAGGGUGACCGGCCACACUGGGACUGAGACACGGCCCAGACUCCUACGGGAGGCAGCAGUGGGGAAUAUUGCACAAUGGGCGAAAGCCUGAUGCAGCAACGCCGCGUGAGGGAUGACGGCCUUCGGGUUGUAAACCUCUUUUAGCAGGGAAGAAGCGAAAGUGACGGUACCUGCAGAAAAAGCGCCGGCUAACUACGUG
rnacentral:rRNA from 1 species